ensembl:lncRNA
AUUUUAUUAUUUUUUUGAAGAAAACACUGUCCAUGUGAAAAAGUAAUUGCCCCCUCACUUUCCAAUCCAAAAAAAUGACCAAGACAUUAAAUGAAACAAUCCAGAUGUGCUUUAGUUACAGACUUUCAGCUUUAAUUUUGAAGGUAUUUACAUCCAGAUCAGGUAAACGUUGUAGGAACUACAACAUAUUUCAGAUGUGCCCUCCGCCUUUAAGUAAUUGAACAAACCAACAUAUUGAACAGAUGUUUCAUUUUGAAAAGUUUUCAAAGUUGCUGCUAUUUCCGUAAACUGUAUUUUAUACAGCUCUCCACUGCCUGUACAUUAUGGAAGUAUUUACACAUUUCUUCUUGCUUCAUGCUGGAUUUUAAGUCAGACAGAGAGGGUGAAAUGGUGAUUUUCAUCUGUGAUUUCAGGGUUUAUAUGAAUAAAGCAGGAGCUGCACCCUUCUGUCCAACAGAUACAAUCCAUGAGGACAGCAAGAAUUCUGAAUUGUGAAACAACGCUAGGUUAUCCACCAGUGGUUGGGAUGUACAUUGAUUUUUAUGGUGCAGAGACAUAAUUUUGAUCAUUAUUGAUAUACAUUUGUAGAACCAGUGAAUCCUGCAUUUUGGAAACCCAGCUUUUGUUGCUGUUGUGGUUGCCACUGUUGUUGGCGCCACUGUUGUUGCUGUUGUGGUUGCCACUGUUGUUGGCGCCACUGUUGUUGCUGUUGUGGCUGCCACUGUUGUUGCUGUUGUGGUUGCCACUGUUGUUGGCGCCACUGUUGUUGCUCUUGUUGACGCCACUGUUGUUGCUGUUGUGGUUGCCACUGUUGUUGACGCCACUGUUGUUGCUCUUGUUGACGCCACUGUUGUUGCUGUUGUGGCUCCCACUGUUGUUGGCGCCACUCUUGCAGUUGUUGUUGCUGCUGUUGCUGUUCUUCUCCAGAAGGCAAUUUCAGGAACAAAGCACACUGGAGUCCAUCGAAAAUGAGAUGAAGGUUUGUGAAAUACAGAACAUUAAAAUAAAUAUUUUGGUAAUUCGCUAAGUCGGUAACAUUGGCUGCGGUGUACACGAGGCACUGAAGAAUGAAAGUGGGGACGUAGACAACCAGGAAGUUGCACAUUGCAACAACCAUGAUCAUUUUCUUCAGGGUGGAAGUGGACGGGGACAAAGUAGGUGCUGUAGAUGUUACAAUGACGGACAGAGCAAGCAGAAACAUGAAAGCGGCCAAAGUGAAUAUGGCCGCUUUGGUGACAUACAGAUAAAGUGGGGACUAUAAUGCCAUUCAGUACACCAAUCAGUAUUUCG